UACGGAGGAGGCAAGCGUUGUCCGGAAUUAUUGGGCGUAAAGCGCGCGCAGGCGGUCCCUUAAGUCUGCUGUGAAAGCCUACGGCUCAACCGCGGAGGGUCGUUGGAAACUGGUGGACUUGAGUGCGGAAGAGGAAAGUGGAAUUCCAUGUGUAGCGGUGAAAUGCGUAGAGAUGUGGAGGAACACCGGUGGCGAAGGCGACUUUCUGGUCUGUAACUGACGCUGAGGCGCGAAAGCGUGGGGAGCAAACAGG
rnacentral:misc_RNA from 1 species